UACGGAGGGUGCGAGCGUUGUCCGGAAUCACUGGGCGUAAAGGGCGCGUAGGCGGCCUGGCAAGUGGAAGGUGAAAUCCCUCGGCUUAACCGAGGAACUGCCCUCCAAACUGCUUGGCUUGAGUCCGGGAGAGGUGAGUGGAAUUCCCAGUGUAGCGGUGAAAUGCGUAGAUAUCAGGAGGAACACCUGUGGUGUAGACGGCUUUCUGGACCAUAACUGACGCUGAGACACGAAAGCGUGGGUAGCAAACAGG
rnacentral:rRNA from 1 species